AGCGAACGCUGGCGGCAGGCUUAACACAUGCAAGUCGAGCGCUCGUAGCAAUACGAGAGCGGCAGACGGGAGAGUAACACGUGGGAACGUACCCUUUGGUUCGGAACAACACAGGGAAACUUGUGCUAAUACCGAAUAAGCCCUUACGGGAAGAUUUAUCGCCAAAGGAUCGGCCCGCGUCUGAUUAGCUAGUUGGUGGGGUAAUGGCCCACCAAGGCGACGAUCAGUAGCUGGCUGAGAGGAUGACCAGCCUCAUUGGGACUGAGACACGGCCCAAACUCCUACGGGAGGCAGCAGUGGGGAAUAUUGGACAAUGGGCGCAAGCCUGAUCCAGCCAUGCCGCGUGGAUGAUGAAGGCCUUAGGGUUGUAAAGUCCUUUUAACGGGAAGAUAAUGACGGUACCCGUAGAAUAAG
rnacentral:rRNA from 1 species